rnacentral:rRNA from 1 species
GUUGUUGCGGUUAAAAAGCUCGUAGUUGGAUUUCUGUCGUCGGUUGGCGCUCCGCCCUCUGUGGUGUGUAGACGCUACGCCGGCGGCAUCUUCCUGGGGGGUGCUGCUGCACUUCAUUGUGGGGCGCAUUAGCCAGGACGUUUACUUUGAGGAAAUGAGAGUGUUUCAAGCAGGCGUACGCCAUGAAUAUGUUAGCAUGGAAUAAUAGCAUCGGACCUCGUGCCACAGCUGUUGGAUCCUUGGAACGAGGUAAAGGUGAAUAGGGAUUGUUGGGGGCAUUCGUAUUUAACUGUCAGAGGUGAAAUUCUUGGAUUUGUUGAAGACGGACUACUGCGAAAGCAUCUGCCAAAGAUGUUCUCAUUGAUCAAGAACGAAAGUUAGGUGAUCGAAGACGAUCAGAUACCGUCCUAGUCUUAACCAUAAACUAUGCCAACUGGGGAUAGAGGGCCGUUAAAUUGGUGACGCCUUCUGCAUCUUGAGAGAAAUCAAAGUCUUUGGGUUCCGGGGGGAGUAUGGUCGCAAGGCUGAAACUUAAAGGAAUUGACGGAAGGGCACCACCAGGAGUGGAGCCUGCGGCUUAAUUUGACUCAACACGGGGAAACUUACCAGGUCCAGACAUAGUGAGGAUUGACAGACUGAUAGCUCUUUCGAGAUUCUAUGGGUAGUGGUGCAUGGCUGUUCUUAGUUGGUGGAGUGAUUUGUCUGGUUAAUUCCGUUAACGAACGAGACCUUAACCUGCUAAAUAGAUUUUCGGAAUCUCCGGUUCCGACAAAUCUUCUUAGAGGGACGUUGCGUGUCUAACGCCAGGGAGUGUGAGGCAAUAACAGGUCUGUGAUGCCCUUAGAUGUUCUGGG